AUUGCAAAACUUGUCAUCAAUACUCCAAAAAGCAAACAUGAGAUGCUAGAUAUCCUGGCAUUACCAUCAGCUCAUUUUCGUUAUGUUUCAUGUUUGUAAUGAUGCCUCAUGUAUUAUACUCAAGAUAUUGGAGAAGGUGGCGUUAAGUUCAGGUUAUUCUGCUUGUUUAUACAGAGCAAAAGCAUGCCUGCUAAUCUGCUUAUACUUGUUGGUGGCUUUGAGGCAAAACUUAGGGAACAGGUCAGACUUACA